CCCAAACUUAAACUUCCUUCAUUCAGCGGUAAAUAUUCUGAAUAUACAAAUUUCAUAACAUCCUUUAAGCAAAUAAUUGACCGUGAGUAUAGCCUCUCAAACAUAGAGAAAUUUAAUCAUUUACGCAAUUGUCUCCAGGGUCCAGCGUUAGAAACAAUUGAUGCAUUUUCAGUUUCUAAUGAAAACUAUACGAAGGCAUUGGAUAGACUUAAGGUUCGGUAUGACAAUGCAACCUUAAUAUUUUUAGAAAACAUAUGUUCGUUGUUUGAACUUUCGUCAGUUUCCAAGUCCAAUGGCGCCCAGUUGAGAAGUCUCAUUGACAAAGCGUCCGCGCUUUACGGCUCAUUAUUGUCAUUGGGCACAGAGGGCCAAAUUUCACAAGCCAUGCUUAUUUAUUUAGUUUUACAGAAGGCAGAUGAGGAGACAAACCGUAAAUGGAAGUAGUCUCUAGAAUUUAACACAUUACCGACCUGGAACGAGUGCACCAAGGUUUUGGAGAGACAUUGCCAGUACCUCGACUCAAUUGAUAACUCUCGCGCCGUUGGAUCCGUACACCAAAUUGCUGCGAAAGCGCCCAAAGCAAAGAAUCAUCACAAGAGCCAUUAAUUUGCUUGUUCGAGUCCGUCAUGUUCGAUGUGCUCCAGCAACAGUCACAAAAUACAUAGUUGCGAUCGCUUCAAGGCACUUAAUGUGUGCGUUUUGACCACGCAAAGAAGAUGGGCCUUUGCAUAAAUUGUUUGUCAAAGGGCCACCAACUAUCGAGUUGUCCAUCUUUGCACAUAUGUAAGGUUUGCUCUCGACAGCACCAUAGCCUGCUUCAUCGAGUAACUAUGUCCGACUCGUCUACCUCUCCGUCCGCCGUUCAUACGAAAAUGAACAACUCAUCGCAGGAUCACACAAUUCUCGCCGCUGCUAUAGUUUUGGUUCGCGACGUAUCUGGUGGUUAUCGACUUGGCAGAGCAUUGUUGGAUUCCUACUCCCAGGUAAACUUCAUUACGGAUGAAUUAUCACAAACCCUGAUGCUUCCACGGCCCUUGUUUGUCAAAGGGCCACCAACUAUCGAGUUGUCCAUCUUUGCACAAAUGUAAGGUUUGCUCUCGACAGCACCAUAGCCUGCUUCAUCGAGUAACUACGUCCGACUCGUCUACCUCUCCGUCCGCCGUUCAUACGCACAUGAACAACUCAUCGCAGGAUCAUAUAAUUCUCCCCACUGCUAUAGUUUUGGUUCGCGACGUAUCUGGUGGUUAUCGACUUGGCAGAGCAUUGUUGGAUUCCUGCUCCCAGGUAAACUUCAUUACGGAUGAAUUAUCACAAACCCUGAUGCUUCCACGGAGAAAACAUAACAUUGAAAUUCAAGGUAUCGUUAAGUCAUCUACAAACAUCAAAUAUACGACCUCUACCAAUAUAAAAUCGCAAGUGACAGGAUUCGAAUUACCACUCACGCUUUGUAUAACAUCGCAUAUAGCCUAUCAGCCUGAACCGGAAAUAGAUACUUCGUCUUGGGACAUCCCAUCCAAUAUUGUGCUUGCAGACAAUCAAUUUUACAAAUCUAAAAAAAUCGACUUGCUUUUAGGAACGGAAAGUUUUUUCAGUUUACUUUCAGUGGGCCAAAUCAAACUUGGUGAUAGUCUACCAAUUCUGCAGAUAACGCUUUUGGGUUGGGUCGUUUCUGGACGCUAUCGUGCGAGCUCUAACACGCUUAACACCAAAUGUUUACUUGCCUGUGAAGAGUCCAUAGACUCAAGACUGGAGAAAUUGUGGCAGAUUGAAGAAGUCACUUCAAAGGCGGACAUGUGGACUCGUGAGCAACACAGUUGCGAAAAACUUUAUAACAACACCGUGACUCGGAGCCCAAAUGGUCGAAUUGUCGUAAAACUGCCGUUCAAGGACGAUCCUGCAUGCUUGGGUGAAUCGUAUACCACAGCUUUGCGUCGUUUUAGUGCACAAGAACGUCGUCUGCUACGCUCUCCUAACCUCAGGACACAGUACGUCGAAUUCAUGGACGAGUAUGAGAGACUAGGCCACAUGCAGGUAGCUCUGAGCCCGAACUUAAACCAGCCUCACUACUACAUCCCCCAUCACUGCGUUCUGAAGCCAGGUAGCACAACAACAAAGCUAAGGGUUGUCUUCGACGCAUUUUGUCAGACCACUACUCAAACCUCAUUUAACGACAUCCAAAUGGUGGGUCCUAUCAUACAAAGCGAGCUUGUAGUUCUUUUGCUCCAAUUUCGUUUACAUCGCUUUGCGCUCACAGCAGAAAUCGUUAAAAUGUAUCGGCAGGUGCUGGUCAGUGAAGAACAUCGAAUGUUCCAGUACAUCUUGUGGAGGAGUUCGCCUAACCAGGAAAUUCAAACCUUCCAGCUUAAUACGGUCACAUACGGAAUGGAGGCCGCACCAUACCUCGCGGUACGUAGUCUGCAUCACCUUGCUGAUCAACAUGCAUCGCAAUUCGUCGUUGGUGCAAAUGUCGUCAAGUCAUCUUUCUACGUUGAUGACCUGCUGUGCGGUGAUGACUCGCGUACGGACCUUUCGCGAAUAAAACAAGAGGUAACGGAGUUGCUAAAAUUAGGUGGACUUGACCUGGCAAAGUGGCAUUCAAACCAUAAGCGUUUCAGGGGCGAACACUCUGUCAAAGACUUAAUCUCGAUACCUCAAUAACUAGCACUCUUGUUCUGACAUGGGAUCAGACACAUGAUAAUUUUUUAUUCUCGUUUCAAUCUAGGCAGCCUACAAAUAGUCGUGUCACGAAAAGGACAAUUCUAUCUACCGCAUCGUCGCUCUUUGAUCCACUUGGCCUCCUAGCACCAGUGAUCGUCACUGCCAAAAUUCUGCUUCAGGAAAUGUGGUUGCUGAAACUUGAGUGGGACGAGUCUGUUCCUCAAAAUAUCCAGUCGGCUUGGGAAAAAUUCGUCAACACUCUUUCUGAUCUGGCUUCAGUUAAGGUUCCAAGGUACUGUUUAUCUACCAACAUGCAGUCUCUUCAGACACAUGGGUUUUGUGACGCGUCGAUUCGUGCUUACGGCUGCGGACUAUAUACACGAACCUUAGACAACACUGGCAAUGUGCGCGUUCGCCUUCUUACGGCAAAAUCACGAGUGGCUCCAACUAAACGACAGUCACUGCCAAAACUGGAACUUUGCGGUGCACUCCUUCUUGCUCGACUUUUCACAAAAAUCAAAGCAAUUUUCACUAAUUAUAGGUUCGAAACUUAUCUUUGGACAGACUCGCAAAUUGUUCUUCACUGGCUCAAACUACACUCGGCUACGCUAUCAGCUUUCGUUGGCAACAGGUCAUCGGAAAUCCAGGAUUUGACUGUGGACGCUCAUUGGCGACACGUGCCAACCAAAAGCAACCCAGCUGACAUUGCAUCGAGAGGAAGCACGGCACUUGAACUUGCUAGCUCAAUUUGGCUCACUGGACCUGCAUUUCUUUACGAAGACGUACAGCUCUCACACCCUAGAAGUCAGACUGGUCGCUUUAAUGCUCCGAUUUUGCACAAGGCUCAAGAAACGAGACACCGACACUGUAAAUGGACCACUCACUGCCAACGAACUACACCGCGCUUUGUUACGCAUUGUUUGGAACGUGCAACAAUACCACUUCACUAACGACAUUCAAAUGUUGCAGAGAGAGUCAACGACAAAUGGCAAGCUACGAAAUCUGAACCCGUUUUUGGAGGUUACCCAUUGUUUCGAACUACUGAAGGUUGGCGGUCGACUUGAACUGGCUGAUAUUUCUGAAUCACAAAAACAUCCCCUUUUGUUGCCCAACAAAUGCGAAUUCGUGACACGAUAUGUUAAACAUCUGCACAUCAAAAAUUAUCACGCAGGACCUAAAGCGUUGGUAUCUUUGAUUCGCCUACAGUUUUGGAUAGUCAACGCACGCAAUAUCGCUAGACGCGUCGUCCGAUCCUGUAUCCAUUGCGUGAGAUACAAGCCGAAGCUACUCCAGCACAUGAUGGGCAAUCCACCAGUUGAGCGCUUAACACCGUCGCGCCCGUUCGCUCGCUGCGGAAUCGAUUUUUGUGAACCCUUCAGCGUCUACCUUCGUAUUAGAGGCAAGGCACCCUAUAAAGCGUACGUAGCCAUCUUCGCGUGCUUUGCAACAAAAGCGGUGCACAUCGAGGUCGUCUCUGACCUAUCCACGGAUGCUUUUUUAGCAUCGCUUAAGCGAAUGAUUGGAAGGAGAGGUCUUCCAUCUGACAUUUUCUGCGACAAUGCAACCAACUUUGUCGGCGCUUGCAGAAAACUUGCUGAAUUAAAAACAUUCCUUUUCAAGAAACAAAAUCAAGAUAUCAUCGUUAACUAUUGUGCUAAUGAAUUUGUUAAUUUUCAUUUCUUCCCUCCUAGAG